GCUAAUUCUAGCUUGAUACUUCUUAGAACAACAUGAUUAUAGUACAAAAUAUGAUUUUAGUAUACAACAUAAAUUGGUCCCCAAAAAAUGAUUUGUAUGAAGAAGAAAAUAGAACUACAAUUUACAAUCUUCGGUAUCGCAUACCGGGUUGUUCCCUCUUUCUUCAUGAUGGCAUGUAGAUUUCUCCAACGGACUCUCGGUGAGCUCUCCAUUUUCUGUGAUUCAAAUUGAAGAGGAAUCUAUCAAACAUUUCCCUAAUGCUGAAAUCAGUAUGUACUUCUAUUUAAUUUUUAAAAAACCGGUUAUUAUAACUUGUAUUUGUGUGGUGGCAUCGGGUGAGCUUACAAAAUAAAAUCAUAUGCAUUUUGGACACGGACAAUUCAACUACGCCGAAUAAUAAAGUGAGUAGAAAUCUAUGAAAUGGAUGGCAAUAUAUUCAAAUGAGAUUAGUUCAGUUCAGAUUAUAUUCCUACAAUAUCAGGAUGAAACAAAAAAUAUAGUCUAUACUAUUGUUUAUGUUUUGUAAAAAAACUAUAUGAAGUAUCAAGGCUGCCAUACCAACUAACAAAACACCAGAGUAUCAAUUCCACUUGCAUAGCCUAUUCUUCUAUGCAACAUCAUAGUAGCACACCAGUCCCCUAAAAUUUAAACACUUUAUUACAUUUUAUUGGUCAUAGCAGUUUCUACAAAAUCACAAAACACAGAAACAUGAUGUGCAAAAAGAAACAUGAAGUAGCACAAGCAUGCAGGGAACUAUCAUGGGAAAAGGAUCAAGAAGAUUAGAACCAACAUAAAAACAAGAAUAGUAAUACAAAGAGCACCCAGUGGACUCACCUGUGCCCUAUGGCAUGUCCGUUCCUCGCAUCAUAGAUCCCACUGGCUACAAGUAAUUCAAGUUCCUGCCUCAUGUGGCUUAGAUUUGAAUAAUACUUAUAAGAGGGGAUUGAUAAGAUGCAUGCAUAUUGUAGGGAUUCUUCUCACCAGACAUGGAGGCAGGGCCGCUGGGGACACGUGAUUUGCAACUGGCUAGCAUUCCAGUGCAAUAAAGAUGGAGAAGAUGAAGAGACGA
rnacentral:lncRNA from 1 species